GGGAGGAUCUCACUGUUAAACCAAUUACUUUAGAGUUGGUAGUUCUUGAGUAAGAGGCUGGUGCAUGGAUGCAUGGAGAGUGACGUUUGGGGCAGGACUAACUUGGCAAGGCUACAGGAUGGACAAGAAUCGAGAAAGACUGGGAAGUUGGAAAACUGCUUGUAUCUUGUGAGGUCUAUGUGAGGGAGCAUCUGGAUUUAAGAUGCCAACAGAAGAAAGAAGCAUCUCAUGGGGAAAUGCUGAGAAGGAGCAUAUAAGGAUGUCAGAGGGGACCAGAACAUGGCAGAGUCCGGGAAGUAGAGGGAAUGGGAGAUUCCAAUAGUGUCCAGUGCUUCAGAGGAGACCCAUGAAAUAGGAUCCACUUCUUUAUUAUAUUUUUGGAGAACAAGAAUCUUUGUCUGGAAAUUCCACAAGUAUGCCUUCUGCAAGAUUAAAAGUGCCACAAAGAACAAAAAUGAGCCCAGAACCAGAUGCGUGCUAGAAGACAUCAGACAUGUUAAGUUUCAUCUCCAUUGACCUGCAGAAGGAGUCUGUCUCCACAGCCACCACAUCUAUGCAUAUGCUGAGUCACAUGUGAAGCCAACACAUCCCAGAGUCUCACCAAGGGCUCAUGGGCCCGAAGUUGUAUUGCAGUAUGCACACGUCCUUUGAUGCCUGGCACAGAGAAAUGUGAGUAGCAGAGAAAAAACAAGAUUUGAUGUUUUUGGAACCAAAAGUUAAUAUGGGGGAAAGUCUUCCAAUCAGCCGACAUGAACAAUGAGCCAGUUGGAGCAUGAAGCUUCAGAAUCGCCUUCCAACUCUCUGUGCACUGCACCAGCUGCUUCCCAUAGACUCCUGGUAAAAUAUAAUUGUCAAUUACUACUUCCUCAUUCUUUGCUUUGUGGCUUACAAGAGAGCGGAAGGAAGAAGAGCCACCACCCAUAACAUCAAUGGCUGCUAACUGAGGAGUGUUUUAACAUGCUGCUACAGCCUAUCCUCAGCUUUCCAGAAGGUGGAAUCUUGUGACAGUGGAAAGACAGUAGAAGAGAGGAAGGUAUGCCAGUAACCAGCGAUGCCCAGCUGGCUCUACUAGGAUUACGUACAGCCUGUAUUUGUUCUGAUUGUACCUAUGACUCCAGGAUUUGCCAGCAAAAGAAGUCAACAAUAUUUUAACUUUAAUCUUAGCCAAAAGGCCAAGAAGUGAUGCUAGUAUUUUCAUAUACUACUACAGUUGCAGACACACGUCUAACAUAGCUGGGUAGUAAUCCAGGCAACUCUGCCGCAAGUCAUGGGCUCAGCCACCAGUCCACGGAGUCUCCAGUCACAUGGAUUGCUUUGGACUAGUCUCUAUCCCCAGUUGUCGAUUAACUAAAACGUGAAACGAGCUAUGCCUUGGGGACCUCACAGUAACUUCCCAGUGCAGAGCACUUGACUGCACGGAACCUGGAUUGACUCAAACCUGUGAAUUUCCCUUCCUGAAACAUAGGAUGCCAUGGAGUCCCCCAACUGGCUUCAUAAAUUUGGUGUCACAUUGUAAAUCAAGCAGCUGCAGAGUGGCUGGGACAUCUGCUUGGCUCUGUUAUUCUCUUAACUCCAAAAGGAAACGAACUCAAAAAGCUCCUUCCAGUUGGCUGAGCUUUAAAGGAUGGUUGGAGAUCCAGCAGCCAUCUUGGACCAUGAGGUGAAUCACGAUGAAGCAAAAUGACAGAAAGAGCCAAGAUCCUUGUCCUGUGGAAAGCAAUACAGAAUAAAACCUGAUGUCUGAGCUGAAUCCCAGUCGUAAAGAAACUUUUCCACCAUUCCUGUCUGUGUUUUUCUAAGUGUGCUCUUGAAGUUCCACAUUUCCCAGGGUAAGUGGUAGGGUCUUCCAAGGAGUUAGAAAGGAAUGGGUAGGCAGGUGGCCAUGCCUCUUUUAUCUCUUCUAUAUUUUGGGGUUUCUCAUAAGGAUACUUUCAAAGAAAGGGACACACACACACAGAGGUGUUAGAAUCAGACAAUCCGGUCUAAAUUCCAGCUCUGCCAGUGACACUCUAAGUAUGUGACUUUGGGUAAGUUACUAGAUCUCUAUAGGAC